CAGCAGUGAGGAAGGCAGGUACGUUAAUAGCGUGCUUGUUUGACGUUUAGCUGCAGAAGAAGCACCGGCUAACUCCGUGCCAGCAGCCGCGGUAAUACGGAGGGUGCGAGCGUUAAUCGGAAUUACUGGGCGUAAAGCGCAUGCAGGUGGUUUGUUAAGUCAGAUGUGAAAGCCCCGGGGCUCAACCUCGGAAUUGCAUUUUGAAACUGGCAGACUAGAGUACUGUAGAGGGGGUAGAAUUUCAGGUGUAGCGGUGAAAUGCGUAGAGAUCUGAAGGAAUACCGGUGGCGAAGGCGGCCCCCCUGGACAGAUACUGACACUCAGAUGCGAAAGCGUGGGGAGCAAACAGGAUUAGAUACCCCUGGUAG
rnacentral:rRNA from 1 species